AUUGAACGCUGGCGGCAGGCCUAACACAUGCAAGUCGAGCGGAUGAGGGGAGCUUGCUCCUGGACUCAGCGGCGGACGGGUGAGUAAUGCCUAGGAAUCUGCCUGGUAGUGGGGGAUAACGUCCGGAAACGGGCGCUAAUACCGCAUACGUCCUGAGGGAGAAAGUGGGGGAUCUUCGGACCUCACGCUAUCAGAUGAGCCUAGGUCGGAUUAGCUAGUUGGUGGGGUAAAGGCCUACCAAGGCGACGAUCCGUAACUGGUCUGAGAGGAUGAUCAGUCACACUGGAACUGAGACACGGUCCAGACUCCUACGGGAGGCAGCAGUGGGGAAUAUUGGACAAUGGGCGAAAGCCUGAUCCAGCCAUGCCGCGUGUGUGAAGAAGGUCUUCGGAUUGUAAAGCACUUUAAGUUGGGAGGAAGGGCAGUAAGUUAAUACCUUGCUGUUUUGACGUUACCAACAGAAUAAGCACCGGCUAACUUCGUG
rnacentral:rRNA from 1 species